rnacentral:lncRNA from 1 species
CGGCACUGUAGCAAUUUCGUUUGUUUGUGACAAAUAUUAUCUAAUCAUGGACUAACUAGGAUCAAAAGAUUCGUCUCGUGAUUUACAGCCAAACUGUGUAAUUAGUUUUUGUUUUUGUCUAUAUUUAAUGUUUCAUACAUGUGCCACAAGAUUCGAUGUGACGGGAAAUCUUUUAAAGUGAACUAAACAAGGCCCACUAUGUCGCGCAGUCGGUGCUUCUCCCGUCCUUACAUUUAUUUCCAUGCUUGAUCAGUACAGUUAGCCGUUAACACUACACAGUACACAGCAGUUCAAGGUCUAUAAAUAUCGUGUCGCUGUCCUUCGGGUGACCCAUAAAUUCUCAACGACCCCGUAGAGUGCUUAAGGUCUUGUUUAGUUCUCAAAAUAUUUUGAAAAUUUUUUCAUAUUCUCCAUCACAUCGAAUCUUACGGUAUAUUUAUGGAACACUAAAUAUAAAUAAAAGAAAUAACUAAUUACACAGUUUACUUGUAAUUUGCGAGACGAAUCUUUUGAGCCUAAUUAGUCCAUAAUUAGACAAUAUUUAUUAAAUACAAAUGAAAGUGGUAUUAUUCAUAUUUUGCAAAAAUUUUAAAAGUAAACAAGGCCUAAGUUCCACAUCAUUUGAUGGCUGAACCACCAAUCGGUCUUUACUUACAGAUUGGUGCUUUUCACAAAUAGUAAAUGAUUUCAACGUUAGUGUUGUACUGUCAACAUAAAACAUACUUUAAGCGGCAAGAUGUUCACAACAUUCCUUUGGUAGCUAGGUUCGUCUACCGUUUUCACUAUACAUGAAUAAUUAGAAUAUAAUUCAGGUUUGAUGUUAAAUAUGGCAUGUUGCAACGAGAAAAAAAUAAUACCACAAUAAUGUAAGCAGUAUGAGUAUGUGUGUUGUAUUGUUAAUAAAGAGAACGAUACUAUGAUCAUGAAGUUGGCAACUUCACAUCUCUACUAUAAUUUACCUAACAAAAUUAUGCUUGGUCCACCUAAAAAAAUCACCCCCGUUGAGGCCUCAACCAUUGUGUACUCAAGAAAACGCACACAGGAUUUUGUCUCCAUCUAAAUCAACGUAUAAAAACCAACUAAGACCAAAUCUAAUGGCUGCAGAAGAAAGUUUGAAGCCCGCAUCAAACUCCCGGACCCCUCCCGCUCAACUUCUCCCUCACGCGACAAGACGACCUGGGUUCGAUCCCUCCUUCCUCCCUCAAAAAAAAGAAAAAAAAACUUUGACCCUGCGUCAUCCCCAAGCACAUCGCCUCCAACAACUCUCCUAACCCUAGCCUCCUCAAUUUCUAGAGCCCCGCAAGGUUGAGCCCACCAUGGCCCCCACCCGCUCCACCUCCGACCCACGCUCUGCAUGGUCCUCCUCCUUGCGGCCGCCACUCGACCUCCAGCCCAUGGUCCUGCCAGAGGACGACGAUGGCGACGAUGAUCGGGCAGUCACGGAGCUCCUCAACACAGCACUGGAGGGCGACCUCUCCCGCGUUAAGGGUAAGGCGCUCGAUUGGUUCCAACGCUCGUCAAUUCGCUAGGGUUUUGGUCUCGAAUCUGACGCGGGUUUCAGUCGCUAUGUGUUUUUGGUGGGGUUUUGUGGUGACGUGCAGAGCUGGUGGAGAAGCUGAACAAGGAGGGGAAGGGCGUGGAUGAUGUGGUGGCAGCCGCAGUCAUCAGCGUGACAAGUACAACACGCCGCGUGCCUCUCCAUCUCGCCGUUGCGAACGGGAACGCGGAGAUGAGCCGGUUUCCUGAUCGAGGUUGGUGAUGUCGAUGUCGAUGCGGCCGAUUGUGUUGGUAAUUGUUACGGUUACUGAUUCUAUUUCGUUUUGCCUUUCGUUAGAUUGGGUGUGAUGUGCUGUUGAAUCGUGCUGUUUCCAUGAGGUUUUGGGUUGGGUGCUGCUCAGGGUCGUGAGGGAGUCAGGGAGAUGCGUGCCGUGCCCGUGUGUUAGUGAGAAAUAAGAGGAACAUCAAGCUAUAGUCUCUAUUAUAAUUCACCUAACAAAAUUAUGCUUGGUCCACCAAAAAAACACCCCCGCUGAGGCCUCAACCAUUGUGUACUUAGGAAAAUGCACACAGGAUUUUGUCUCCAUCAAAAUCAACGUAACAAAACCAACCAAGACCAAAUCUAACGGCUGCAGGAGAAAGUUUGAAGCUCGCAUCGAACUCUUGAUCCCCUCCCGCUCUCCUUCUCCCUCACGCGACGAGACGACCUGGGUCCAUCCCUCCUUCCUCCCUCCAAAAAAAAGAAAAAAAUACUUCGACCCUGCGUCAUCCCCAAGCACAUCACCUCCAACAACUCUCCAUACCCUAGCCUUCUCGAUUUCUAGAGCCCCGUGAGGUUGAGCCCGCCCUGGCCCCCACCCGCUCCACCUCCGACCCGCGCUCCACGUGGUCCUCCUCCUUGCGGCCGCCACUCGACCUCUAGCCCAUGGUCCUGCCAGAGAACGAUGAUGGGGACGAUGAUCGGCCAGUCGCGGAGCUCCUCAACGUGGCACUGGAGGGUGACCUCUCCCAUGUUAAGGGUAAGGCACUCGAUUGGUUCCAACGCUCGUCAAUUCGCUAGGGUUUUGGUCUUGAAUCUGACAUGGGUUUUGGUCGCUAUGUAUUUUUGGUGGGGUUUUGUGGUGACGUGCAGAGCUGGUGGAGAAGCUGAACAAGGAGGGGAAGGGCGUGG